CGGGACACGUGGUAUCCUGUCUGAAUAUGGGGGGACCAUCCUCCAAGGCUAAAUACUCCUGACUGACCGAUAGUGAACCAGUACCGUGAGGGAAAGGCGAAAAGAACCCCGGCGAGGGGAGUGAAAAAGAACCUGAAACCGUGUACGUACAAGCAGUGGGAGCACAGAGCAAUCUGUGUGACUGCGUACCUUUUGUAUAAUGGGUCAGCGACUUAUAUUCUGUAGCAAGGUUAACCGAAUAGGGGAGCCGAAGGGAAACCGAGUCUUAACUGGGCGUUAAGUUGCAGGGUAUAGACCCGAAACCCGGUGAUCUAGCCAUGGGCAGGUUGAAGGUUGGGUAACACUAACUGGAGGACCGAACCGACUAAUGUUGAAAAAUUAGCGGAUGACUUGUGGCUGGGGGUGAAAGGCCAAUCAAACCGGGAGAUAGCUGGUUCUCCCCGAAAGCUAUUUAGGUAGCGCCUCGUGAAUUCAUCUCCGGGGGUAGAGCACUGUUUCGGCAAGGGGGUCAUCCCGACUUACCAACCCGAUGCAAACUGCGAAUACCGGAGAAUGUUAUCACGGGAGACACACGGCGGGUGCUAACGUCCGUCGUGAAGAGGGAAACAACCCAGACCGCCAGCUAAGGUCCCAAAGUCAUGGUUAAGUGGGAAACGAUGUGGGAAGGCCCAGACAGCCAGGAUGUUGGCUUAGAAGCAGCCAUCAUUUAAAGAAAGCGUAAUAGCUCACUGGUCGAGUCGGCCUGCGCGGAAGAUGUAACGGGGCUAAACCAUGCACCGAAGCUGCGGCAGCGACACUAUGUGUUGUUGGGUAGGGGAGCGUUCUGUAAGCCUGUGAAGGUGUGCUGUGAGGCAUGCUGGAGGUAUCAGAAGUGCGAAUGCUGACAUAAGUAACGAUAAAGCGGGUGAAAAGCCCGCUCGCCGGAAGACCAAGGGUUCCUGUCCAACGUUAAUCGGGGCAGGGUGAGUCGACCCCUAAGGCGAGGCCGAAAGGCGUAGUCGAUGGGAAACAGGUUAAUAUUCCUGUACUUGGUGUUACUGCGAAGGGGGGACGGAGAAGGCUAUGUUGGCCGGGCGACGGUUGUCCCGGUUUAAGCGUGUAGGCUGGUUUUCCAGGCAAAUCCGGAAAAUCAAGGCUGAGGCGUGAUGACGAGGCACUACGGUGCUGAAGCAACAAAUGCCCUGCUUCCAGGAAAAGCCUCUAAGCAUCAGGUAACAUCAAAUCGUACCCCAAACCGACACAGGUGGUCAGGUAGAGAAUACCAAGGCGCUUGAGAGAACUCGGGUGAAGGAACUAGGCAAAAUGGUGCCGUAACUUCGGGAGAAGGCACGCUGAUAUGUAGGUGAAGCGACUUGCUCGUGGAGCUGAAAUCAGUCGAAGAUACCAGCUGGCUGCAACUGUUUAUUAAAAACACAGCACUGUGCAAACACGAAAGUGGACGUAUACGGUGUGACGCCUGCCCGGUGCCGGAAGGUUAAUUGAUGGGGUCAGCGCAAGCGAAGCUCUUGAUCGAAGCCCCGGUAAACGGCGGCCGUAACUAUAACGGUCCUAAGGUAGCGAAAUUCCUUGUCGGGUAAGUUCCGACCUGCACGAAUGGCGUAAUGAUGGCCAGGCUGUCUCCACCCGAGACUCAGUGAAAUUGAACUCGCUGUGAAGAUGCAGUGUACCCGCGGCAAGACGGAAAGACCCCGUGAACCUUUACUAUAGCUUGACACUGAACAUUGAGCCUUGAUGUGUAGGAUAGGUGGGAGGCUUUGAAGUGUGGACGCCAGUCUGCAUGGAGCCGACCUUGAAAUACCACCCUUUAAUGUUUGAUGUUCUAACGUUGACCCGUAAUCCGGGUUGCGGACAGUGUCUGGUGGGUAGUUUGACUGGGGCGGUCUCCUCCUAAAGAGUAACGGAGGAGCACGAAGGUUGGCUAAUCCUGGUCGGACAUCAGGAGGUUAGUGCAAUGGCAUAAGCCAGCUUGACUGCGAGCGUGACGGCGCGAGCAGGUGCGAAAGCAGGUCAUAGUGAUCCGGUGGUUCUGAAUGGAAGGGCCAUCGCUCAACGGAUAAAAGGUACUCCGGGGAUAACAGGCUGAUACCGCCCAAGAGUUCAUAUCGACGGCGGUGUUUGGCACCUCGAUGUCGGCUCAUCACAUCCUGGGGCUGAAGUAGGUCCCAAGGGUAUGGCUGUUCGCCAUUUAAAGUGGUACGCGAGCUGGGUUUAGAACGUCGUGAGACAGUUCGGUCCCUAUCUGCCGUGGGCGCUGGAGAACUGAGGGGGGCUGCUCCUAGUACGAGAGGACCGGAGUGGACGCAUCACUGGUGUUCGGGUUGUCAUGCCAAUGGCACUGCCCGGUAGCUAAAUGCGGAAGAGAUAAGUGCUGAAAGCAUCUAAGCACGAAACUUGCCCCGAGAUGAGUUCUCCCUGACUCCUUGAGAGUCCUGAAGGAACGUUGAAGACGACGACGUUGAUAGGCCGGGUGUGUAAGCGCAGCGAUGCGUUGAGCUAACCGGUACUAAUGAACCGUGAG
rnacentral:rRNA from 1 species